AGCGAACGCUGGCGGCAGGCCUAACACAUGCAAGUCGAACGGAUCCUUCGGGAUUAGUGGCGGACGGGUGAGUAACACGUGGGAACGUGCCCUUUGGUUCGGAACAACUCAGGGAAACUUGAGCUAAUACCGGAUGUGCCCUUCGGGGGAAAGAUUUAUCGCCAUUGGAGCGGCCCGCGUCUGAUUAGCUAGUUGGUGAGGUAAAGGCUCACCAAGGCGACGAUCAGUAGCUGGUCUGAGAGGAUGAUCAGCCACAUUGGGACUGAGACACGGCCCAAACUCCUACGGGAGGCAGCAGUGGGGAAUCUUGCGCAAUGGGCGAAAGCCUGACGCAGCCAUGCCGCGUGAAUGAUGAAGGUCUUAGGAUUGUAAAAUUCUUUCGCCAGGGAAGAUAAUGACGGUACCUGGAAAAGAAGCCUCGGCUAACUCCGUGCCAGCAGCCGCAGUAAAAC
rnacentral:rRNA from 1 species